rnacentral:rRNA from 1 species
AUCGAACGCUGGCGGCAGGCCUAACACAUGCAAGUCGAGCGGAGCGGCGGACGGGUGAGUAAUGACUAGGAAUCUGACUGGUCGUGGGGGAUAACGUCCGGAAACGGGCGCUAAUACCGCAUACUAUCAGAUGAGCCUAGGUCGGUUGAGCUAGUUGGUGGGGUAAAGGCCUACCAAGGCGACGAUCCGUAACUGGUCUGAGAGGAUGAUCAGUCACACUGGAACGGAGACACGGUCCAGACGCCUACGGGCGGGAGCGGUGGGGAAUAUUGGACAAUGGGCGAAAGCCUGAUCCAGCCAUGCCGGGUGUGUGAAGAAGGUCUUCGGAUUGUAAAGCACUUUAAGUUGGGAGGCGUUACCAACAGAAUAAGCACCGGCUAACUACGUGCCAGCAGCCGCGGUAAUAC